rnacentral:rRNA from 1 species
AUUGAACGCUGGCGGCAGGCCUAACACAUGCAAGUCGAGCGGAUGAAGGGAGCUUGCUCCUGGAUUCAGCGGCGGACGGGUGAGUAAUGCCUAGGAAUCUGCCUGGUAGUGGGGGAUAACGUCCGGAAACGGGCGCUAAUACCGCAUACGACCUGAGGGAGAAAUUGGUGGUUCUUCGGACCUCACGCUAUCAGUUGAGCCUAGGUCGGAUUAGCUAGUUGGUGGGGUAAAGGCCUACCAAGGCGACGAUCCGUAACUGGUCUGAGAGGAUGAUCAGUCACACUGGAACUGAGACACGGUCCAGCCUCCUACGGGAGGCAGCAGUGGGGAAUAUUGGACAAUGGGCGAAAGCCUGAUCCAGCCAUGCCGCGUGUGUGAAGAAGGUCUUCGGAUUGUAAAGCACUUUAAGUUGGGAGGAAGGGCAGUAAGUUAAUACCUUGCUGUUUUGACGUUACCAACAGAAUAAGCACCGGCUAACUUCGUG